rnacentral:rRNA from 1 species
AACACGGACCAAGGAGUCUAUCAUGUGUGCAAGCGACAGAGUAAUAGCGAUACUCUGGCGCACAAUGAAAGUGAAAUACGCAGAGACGGCUGUCCUUCUGGGGCAUGUUCGUACUCUGUUCGUAUAAACGGUGAUCCACACACWCACAUAGGUGUGUGGCGCAACCGUAGGCCGCACACGGCAGUCGGUCUUCGGACCGGCUGGUCGGUGUGGACCUAGAGCGUACACGAUGGUACCCGAAAGAUGGUGAACUAUGUCUGGCCAGGAUGAAGCCAGGGGAAACUCUGGUGGAGGUCCGUAGUGGUUCUGACGUGCAAAUCGAUCCUAUGAGCUGGAUAUAGGGGCGAAAGACCAAUCGAACCAUCUAGUAGCUGGUUCCGCCCGAAAUUUCCCUCAGGAAAGCUGGCGCUCUUUUACAGAGUUUCAUCCGGUAGAGCGAAUGAUUAGAGGACUAUGGGCACUGCUUUUGCUCAACCUAUUCUCAAACUACCAAUGGGUGAGAUGUUGCGCUAACUGCGAAGUUAGUGUAACGCAUGAAUCUGAGUGCCCAGUGGGCCACUUUUGGUAAGCAGAACUGGCGAUGCGGGAUGAACCGCAUGCCCAAGUUGAGGUGCCUAAGUGAACGCUUAUGAGACACCAUUGGAAAGGUGUUCGUAGCUCAAGACAGCAGGACGGUGGCCGUGGAAGUAGGCAUCCGCUAAGGAGUGUGUAACAACUCACCUGCCGACACCCUUUUUGG